UACGUAGGGGGCAAGCGUUGUCCGGAUUUAUUGGGCGUAAAGCGCUCGCAGGUGGUCCGUUGCGUCGUGCGUGAAAGACCCCGGCUCAACUGGGGAGUGUCGUGCGAUACGGGCGGACUGGAGGCCAGUAGGGGGAUGUGGAAUUCCUGGUGUAGCGGUGAAAUGCGUAGAUAUCAGGAGGAACACCGGUGGUGUAGACGGCUUUCUGGACCGUAACUGACGCUGAGACACGAAAGCGUGGGUAGCAAACAGG
rnacentral:rRNA from 1 species